CAGUAGCCACGGUAAUACAGAGGGUGCGAGCGUUAAUCGGAUUUACUGGGCGUAAAGCGCACGUAGGCGGAUAUUUAAGUCAGGGGUGAAAUCCCGCAGCUCAACUGCGGAACUGCCUUUGAUACUGGGUAUCUUGAGUAUGGAAGAGGUUAGUGGAAUUGCGAGUGUAGAGGUGAAAUUCGUAGAUAUUCGCAGGAACACCAGUGGCGAAGGCGGCUAACUGGUCCAUAACUGACGCUGAGGUGCGAAAGCGUGGGGAGCAAACAGGAUUAGAUACCCCAGUAGUCCCUGUCUCUUAUAC
rnacentral:rRNA from 1 species